GACGAACGCUGGCGGCGUGCUUAACACAUGCAAGUCGAACGGAAAGGCCCUGCUUUUGUGGGGUGCUCGAGUGGCGAACGGGUGAGUAACACGUGAGUAACCUGCCCUUUACUUUGUGAUAACUUCAGGAAACUGGGGCUAAUACCGGAUAGGAGCUCCUGCUGCAUGGUGGGGGUUGGAAAGUUUCGGCGGUUGGGGAUGGACUCGCGGCUUAUCAGCUUGUUGGUGGGGUAGUGGCUUACCAAGGGUUUGACGGGUAGCCGGCCUGAGAGGGUGACCGGCCAAAUUGGGAAUGAGAUACGGCCCAGAAUCCUACGGGAGGCAGCAGUGGGGAAUAUUGAACAAUGGGCGGAAGCCUGAUGCAGCAACGCCGCGUGCGGGAUGACGGCCUUCGGGUUGUAAACCGCGUUCGCCUGUGACGAAGAGUGAGUGACGGUAAUGGGUAAAGAAGCACCGGCUAACUACGUG
rnacentral:rRNA from 1 species